rnacentral:rRNA from 1 species
CUGCUAGACUAGAGGACGGUAGAGGAAAGUGGAAUUCCCGGUGUAGUGGUGAAAUGCGUAGAUAUCGGGAGGAACACCAGUGGCGAAAGCGACUUUCUGGCCCGUUCCUGACACUAAGACGCGAAAGCUAGGGUAGCAAACAGGAUUAGAGACCCUGGUAGUCCUAGCCGUAAACGAUGUCAACUAGGCGUUGGUGGGUUAAUAGCCAUCAGUGCCGCAGCUAACGCGAUAAGUUGACCGCCUGGGGACUACGAUCGCAAGAUUAAAACUCAAAGGAAUUGACGGGGCCCCGCACAAGCAGCGGAGCGUGUGGUUUAAUUCGAUCUACACGAAGAACCUUACCUGGGCUUGACAUGUCGAUGAACGAUUGCGAAAGCAUGAGGCUCCCUUCGGGGACAUCGUCACAGGUGUUGCAUGGCUGUCGUCAGCUCGUGUCGUGAGAUGUUCGGUUAAGUCCGGUAACGAGCGCAACCCUCGCCGUAUGUUAUAUGUGUCAUGCGGGACCGCAGGUUUCAAACCUGAGGAAGGUGGGGAUGACGUCAAGUCAGCAUGGCCUUUAUGUCCAGGGCUACACACACGCUACAAUGGACGGUACAAUGGGUUGCCAAGCCGCGAGGUGGAGCCAAUCCCCCAAAGCCGUCCCCAGUUCAGAUUGCAGGCUGCAACUCGCCUGCAUGAAGUCGGAGUUGCUAGUAAUCGCGCGUCAGCUAUAGUGCGGUGAAUACGUUCUCGGGGCUUGUACACACCGCCCGUCACGUCAUGGAAGUUGGUAACACCUGAAGCCGGUAGCUCAACCCUCACGGGAGGGCGCCGUCUAAGGUGGGGCUGGUAACUAGGACGAAGUCGUAACAAGGUAACC